AUGAAAUUAAGAAUUUAUCCCAGCUAACAUCAAUGCGAAAUGUCAGAGCUGAGGCUGGACCCCAGGGCCUGCGCUUUCCUCCUCUCCCUUCAUCUGCCUUCCCCUCCCCUCUCUGUCCCCAGGCGGAGGGUUCCCGGCUGAGGACACAGGACAGCAGGCCUCCGGCCCAUGCCACCUGGUGUGUUUAGAAACACAGAACUGCAAUUGGACGGUUCUUCCUCCAGCUGGGCUGCGAAUGAAGCAUCUUGUCUUCCAGUCCCCCAGACUUGCCGCCACAUCAGGGUGGCAGUAAUUGCCCCCUGAAGGUCAUUGGAGUGAGUUGGGCCAGGCACAGCCAGAAAUCUGCACAAACAUGGAGGGGCACAGGGCAAGCACAUGUUUCCACGGGCAGCUGUCUUCAAAACUGGAAAAGAUGACUAUGACUGACAUUUGACAACCACUAAAGGGCAUUACCAUGUCGGGUGAUAUAAUUCUCCCCAUUGUAUAAAUGAAGACACUGAGACUCUAAGCCCUUCCUCACCCCAAGCUCCCUCAUGCUGCCCUGCUCUGUACCAAGUUUGAGU